ensembl:lncRNA
UUUUUGUUUUUUUUUUUUUUUUCCAUCUCUUUUAAAUCUUUCCAUCAAUUGUAUUAACCAUUCACACCAUUCUCUCACUCAUACAAGCAGCAAGCAGAUCUUCAUUGCAUAUGCUUAUGUUCUUAGCCAGGUUUUAAUCAAUAUCUGUUCAUUAAGCUUCAGGAGCUUGUCUUUAUAAGGUUAAUGCAUUUUCUGUUUGUGUGUGUAUGGGUAUAUGUUAUUUUGCAUCUAUGACUUCACAGUCUCCCAGACUUCUUCCCAACUCUCCAGUUAAGCAGUCAGUUUUCUUUUUCCCCGAGUUACUAACCCACAUUUUGAUUUCCCACCUUAAAUUACCGCCCUCCUGGUCUUCAGCCAGGAGCUGGGGCUUGCUUUUCAGGUUCCUGGACACAUCCUGCUGUGAACAAUUCAACCAGAAACUUGCCUUAACUUAUCCAUAGAUGUUAACCUCUAACUUUCUUCCGACUGCUGGAUCUGGAGAGCGGUCCAAAAGUCUGGGAGACUGUGAAGUCAUAGAUGCAAAAUAACAUAUACCCAUACACACACAAACAGAAAAUGCAUUAACCUUAUAAAGACAAGCUCCUGAAGCUUAAUGAACAGAUAUUGAUUAAAAACCUGGCUAAGAACAUAAGCAUAUGCAAUGAAGAUCUGCUUGCUGCUUGUAUGAGUGAGAGAAUGGUGUGAAUGGUUCAUAAAAUAGAUGGAAAAAACAAAAGAAAAGUGUCUAUAAGAGUGACUCAGGAGUGCUCUUGCACUGAUUGAUCAAAGUAAGUGAUUAGUAUAGAAAGAAUAUGAAAAUCGUUCAAUAAUGUGAUAAGGUGUAAACAUGUAUUUUUCUUGUCAAGUUGGCAGUUGAGCUGUGAGUCUAUGAGCAGAGACACUUCCUCUCUUCAUUUUUUCUUAACACUUCCUGUGUGUGUGUGUGAUUGAGGCCUUAAAGGAGGGGUAGAUUGUUCAGAGGUGCAAAUUUGAUUAGGAGGUUUAUAAAUUAGUGUUGACACAUUGUUGUAAGGUGUUAGGCUGAAUCUGAGUAUGGUAAAGUGCUUAACCGGGGUUAUUGUUGUGUACGAAACGGUGUAGCUUUU